CCCCAGCAACGCCCUCAGACCAGUCUCUGUUUUGGCCACUGCAACUGCAAACUCUUUUCUUGUCUAAGACUUCAUGAGCCAUCUUUGGAAAGCUGGGAUAUCUACCUUGUGAACAGAUUCAGGGCUGUGUUUGUUUCAUUUAUUCACUAAAGACUCACUGAACGCAUCCUAUGCACAAGCCCGCAGAGCUGGGGAACACAACUAGUGACCCAGCGUCCAUGCUUGCCCUGAAGGAGGUGACAGUUCAGUGGGAUCACAGGAAUAGCCAGGAGAGCCGUGCAGUUGUCAUACAGUGAAGAACGGAUGAGAUGAUGGGAGAUGGAGUUGGAGGAUACGAGGGGGGGCCAGAUGACAAUGGCCUUUGUAACCAACGUCAUGCCCUUGACUGAUCGAGUUAGCAAGACAAGGACCCGCCAGGCUGGAUCAUGAGAAGUUUAAAAAAC